CAGAAGGAUGGUGUCAGUGGACGGCACAAAUAACUGCUGCCUGGUAUUCCCACCCACCCCAAAACAGCUUCCUACUGGUUGAUAUGCAUCCCAAACAAAUGGUUCCCACUGGUCAGAUCCUGUUGUUGCCCACAGAGCAAUUCCGCAUGCAGGAUCGAGUAGGGGGUCUUAGCUAAAUCUGUGUUUGGCACAAGUUCAGUGACACCCUCUGUUUUAAGUCUCCUCGGUUCCAUGAGUUACUGUAGCAGGUGAGCUAGGAUGCUUCAGCAGGAGCUGCAUAGCACAAGGAAUGAUGUUUCAAACAUGAAAAAAAGAAAAAUGCAACAGUGACCUUAUGAAAACAGAUGUUAUUCAGGCUUCAGCUGGGAAAAAAGGGAAGGAGGGACUCCCCUGGAAUUACUAAGGGCGGCAUACAGCGUGAUUCUGUGAGAGUGAGAGGAAUUGUGCUGGGGAUACAGGAGUUGCAAAUGGAAGGUGAAACAGAGCCUUGUUCAAGCACAUGUCAUGUCGGUGCAGCCAGGAGGAGCAGCUGCUCAGCUACCAGAAUGAGUGGAACAGUUCUAGCAAUGACCCAUUUCUUGCCGUUGCCCAUCUGCUACUAUGGAAACAACAGCUCUCCUUGUACGCAGCUGCCUUUGCUGCAACUUGUAUGGAAGGCAAAAGAAGAAUAAAACAGGGCGAUAAGAAGUUUUUCCUGUCAGUGCACAUCUGUACGUCCUUUUAGUGGAAGCUUCUGACUGCAGAGCAGCACUGUUCGAGUGCAGCAGAGGUUAAUUUACCUAUGAGCGAUAAAAUCCUAUUGGAAAAAUACACACUCCUGAGCAGAAGGCACCGU